rnacentral:rRNA from 1 species
UACGUAGGGUGCGAGCGUUGUCCGGAUUUAUUGGGCGUAAAGAGCUCGUAGGCGGCUUGGCAAGUCGGGUGUGAAACCUCCAGGCUCAACCUGGAGACGCCACUCGAUACUGCCAUGGCUAGAGUCCGGUAGGGGACCACGGAAUUCCUGGUGUAGCGGUGAAAUGCGCAGAUAUCAGGAGGAACACCGGUGGCGAAGGCGGUGGUCUGGGCCGGCACUGACGCUGAGGAGCGAAAGCGUGGGUAGCAAACAGG